AUGAAACUCAAAGGAAUUGACGGGGACCCGCACAGGCGGUGGAGCAUGUGGUUUAAUUCGAAGCAACGCGAAGAACCUUACCAAGUCUUGACAUCGGAAUGACGCAAGAGUAACGUCCUGUUUCCCUCGGGACAUUCCAGACAGGUGGUGCAUGGUUGUCGUCAGCUCGUGUCGUGAGAUGUUGGGUUAAGUCCCGCAACGAGCGCAACCCUUAUCCUUAGUAGCCAGCGGCAUGGCCGGGCACUCUAGGGAGACUGCCAGGGACAACCUGGAGGAAGGUGGGGAUGACGUCAAAUCAUCAUGCCCCUUAUGGCCAGGGCUACACACGUGCUACAAUGGCGUAAACAAAGGGAGGCGAAGCCGUGAGGUGGAGCAAAUCCCAAAAAUAACGUCUCAGUUCGGAUUGUAGUCUGCAACUCGACUACAUGAAGCUGGAAUCGCUAGUAAUCGCGAAUCAGAAUGUCGCGGUGAAUACGUUCCCGGGUCUUGUACACACCGCCCGUCACACCAUGGGAGUCAGCAACGCCC
rnacentral:rRNA from 1 species